GGUUGGUGGGUCGAGUGAUAUUUUGCGACCCCUAUAUUGGAUGCUCUCAAACGCAUUUGAUGCAUGACUGUUAGGUGCAUAAUCAUUUCUAUUGCAUUAUUAUGAUGGUGAUAAGUUGAUGAGAAGGACAAAUGUAGACAUAGGAUGAGGAUCAUCUAUAAGUCUAGUCCAAUCCUGUCCAUCCAAGAUACCAAGGUCUUGUGUGAGUUGAUUUACUUUUGAUUGGUCCAUGCCA
rnacentral:lncRNA from 1 species